rnacentral:tRNA from 1 species
GGUGUAGCUCAGUGGUAGAGCAUGUGAUUUGCAUGCAAGAGACCCUGGAUUCAAUCCCCAGCAUC